rnacentral:rRNA from 1 species
UGAUGCGGUCAUACCAAGGCUACUACACCAGAUCCCAUCAGAACUCUGAAGUUAAGCGCCUUUGGGCCGGAAUAGUACUGGGAUGGGUGACCUCCCGGGAAGUCCCGGUGCUGCAUCCAU